rnacentral:rRNA from 1 species
AUACGGGGGGUGCAAGCGUUGUUCGGAAUUAUUGGGCGUAAAGAGCGUGUAGGCGGCUUGGCAAGUCAGAUGUGAAAGCCCUGGGCUUAACCCAGGAAGUGCAUUUGAAACUGCCUAGCUUGAGUAGGGGAGAGGGAAGUGGAAUUCCUGGUGUAGAGGUGAAAUUCGUAGAUAUCAGGAGGAACACCGGUGGCGAAGGCGACUUCCUGGCCCUAUACUGACGCUGAGACGCGAGAGCGUGGGUAGC